rnacentral:rRNA from 1 species
GAUUAACGCGAAGAACCUUACCUACCCUUGACAUGGUCGGAAUCCCGCUGAGAGGUGGGAGUGCUCGAAAGAGAACCGGCGCACAGGUGCUGCAUGGCUGUCGUCAGCUCGUGUCGUGAGAUGUUGGGUUAAGUCCCGCAACGAGCGCAACCCUUGUCCUUAGUUGCUACGCAAGAGCACUCUAAGGAGACUGCCGGUGACAAACCGGAGGAAGGUGGGGAUGGCGUCAAGUCCUCAUGGCCCUUAUGGGUAGGGCUUCACACGUCAUACAAUGGUCGGAACAGAGGGUUGCCAACCCGCGAGGGGGAGCUAAUCCCAGAAAACCGAUCGUAGUCCGGAUUGCACUCUGCAACUCGAGUGCAUGAAGCUGGAAUCGCUAGUAAUCGCGGAUCAUGCAUGCCGCGGUGAAUACGUUCCCCGGGCCUUGUACACCACCGAAUC